ACCUAAGAUAGCUCGGUCACGAGAGCAUGAUACUUUUAAUGUCAGGGCCGUGGGUCUGAGCCCCACAUUGGGCA